GAUGAACGCUGGCGGCGUGCUUAACACAUGCAAGUCGAGCGAGUGAGUUCUUCGGAACAAUCUAGCGGCGGACGGGUGAGUAACACGUGGGCAACCUGCCUCAUAGAGGGGAAUAGCCUCCCGAAAGGGAGAUUAAUACCGCAUAAAAUUAUCGAGUGGCAUCACAUGAUAAUCAAAGGAGUAAUCCGCUAGGAGAUGGGCCCGCGGCGCAUUAGAUAGUUGGUGAGGUAACGGCUCACCAAGGCGACGAUGCGUAGCCGACCUGAGAGGGUGAUCGGCCACAGUGGGACUGAGACACGGCCCAGACUCCUACGGGAGGCAGCAGUGGGGAAUAUUGCACAAUGGGGGAAACCCUGAUGCAGCAACGCCGCGUGAGUGAUGAAGGUCUUCGGAUUGUAAAGCUCUGUCAUUGGGGACGAUAAUGACGGUACCCAAGGAGGAAGCCACGGCUAACUACGUGCCAGCCGCCGCGGUAA
rnacentral:rRNA from 1 species